CAGGACCUUGAAAUGCACCGUAUAGAACGAAAGACCAUCGUACAAACAAAGGCUCAGGCUGCACAGCAAGAUUUAUACGAUGCCGUGGAGGUCUUUAACGUUUCUCCCUGAAGAUGAAUGUGAGGUUACUGGGCUCCCCCACAAUGUUUCAAAAGUUUCCCAGAUGACUACAUGGCAGAGCCAGGCUCUGUGAUGUGGAGGCCUACAACUAUAUGCCUGGCUGCGCGGGACUGACCCUUGCAGCGGGCUGCCACAGCAAAGACGACAUUUCACAGCUACAAAGCUCCUGCAGCGUUUCUGGAAUCGCUUCACAGGGUGACAGCUGAUGGUGUGGGAGCUUCAACUGAAGGAUGUGACCAGAGGUCCGACUUCAUACGGUGCUAGGUCCCAGGAGGGCAUCAUUUCACAGACAUAAUGUAUUAUUUUCAGUUUCUCUUACGUGCAUCUGUAGUGAAUAAGCGCUUGAUGUAAGUGCAGCAAAGAACAGAUACUGGAGUAAACUGAACUACACACUUCAAAUAGAUUCAAUGUUAUUUAGCAUCUCCUAGUGGAAAUUAGAUUCUUAGUGCCCAUAUGCAUAGUGAUGGAGUGACAGGCAGUCAGCAGUAGAUUACCAUAAUUUGACUGCUGUUUUUUUUUCACUACUAAUUGAAGGAUAAUUUGAGAACAUAAUUUGCUACAACAUUUGCUAUAUUUCUCUCAUCGUCAAAAAAAAUCCUUUAAAAAAGUCCAAGUGGCAGUAAAAGCGUUAUUAGUCUAUGGAGCUGCUGUGGCUCACAGAUGUGUUUUCAGUAGUUUUUAGACAAGAAUAGAGCUCUAACCACAGCGAAAUAACAUAAAUGUGGCUUUAGACACAUAGCCGAUACUUUGCAGAAGGAUCAAUUCAUCGCUUUUGGACUUUUAAUGGAAUUUGUCGAGGAGAAAAACAGGAAAACCUUAGCAAAUAAAUAAGUUUAACCUUUAAUGAUAUAAAAAAUCUAAAAAUAAGACAGAUUCUAGUUGUGUGAAGGGUCCAAAACAAAAACAAAAAAAAAAAAAAAAGACGACUGCUGAAGACCUAACCUCUUUGAGAAAGAAUUUGACUAAGGAUUUGUAGUUAAUGCGAAAGGACUGAACAAAUAUUUUACCAGUACAAUUUUCGGCAGCAAAGACAGGAGGUGUGUAAAACAAAUAAAUGACUCAACAGACAUCCAAUUUCAAUGCUUUAUGCCAGAGCAGUAAAAAUGACAACUGCUAGGCUCCUGUUAUAUUUAAAUUUUACAUGCGACUUACAAAGCCAUGUUCUCCUGUGCCACUGUGCUGAUUGCUAACUGAGAAAAUUGUCAUUCAAUAUUUCCAAUCUUUGUUGAGCAGCUGAAAACACUGCGAUUUGUGAUUACAGUCAUUGUUGUAAUAUUGAUUCACGUAGAGCAGCAGCAGCAGCAGCAGCAGCAAUUUCACUCAUAUGGAACCGUGGUCUGAAAUACAGUUCUCAACAAAGGGCAAACAGUUACUGACAAAGCAAUUUUCCACUCAAGGUCUCCAUAAUGCAUUAAGUAAGGUUUAACUCAACCCAAUAGAUCAAAGGAUGGAAACCAAACUAUA